UACGGGAGGCAGCAGUGGGGAAUAUUGCACAAUGGGCGCAAGCCUGAUGCAGCCAUGCCGCGUGUAUGAAGAAGGCCUUCGGGUUGUAAAGUACUUUCAGUCGUGAGGAAGGUGUUAAGGUUAAUAACCUUAGCAAUUGACGUUAGCGACAGAAGAAGCACCGGCUAACUCCGUGCCAGCAGCCGCGGUAAUACGGAGGGUGCGAGCGUUAAUCGGAAUUACUGGGCGUAAAGGGCACGCAGGCGGUUAAUUAAGUUGGAUGUGAAAUCCCCGGGCUUAACCUGGGAAUGGCAUUCAAGACUGGUUAGCUAGAGUCUUGUAGAGGGGGUUAGAAUUCCAUGUGUAGCGGUGAAAUGCGUAGAGAUGUGGAGGAAUACCGGUGGCGAAGGCGGCCCCUGGGACAAGACUGACGCUCAUGUGCGAAAGCUGGGGAGCAAACAGGAUUAGAUACC
rnacentral:rRNA from 1 species